AUCUAUCUGAUGAGUCCCGAAUAGGACGAAACGCUCGUCCUGGAU
rfam:Schistosoma mansoni, Puerto Rico, WGS project CABG01000000 data, contig: 0258